rnacentral:rRNA from 1 species
CCUACGGGAGGCAGCAGUGGGGAAUAUUGGACAAUGGGGGGAACCCUGAUCCAGCCAUGCCGCGUGUGUGAAGAAGGCCCUCGGGUUGUAAAGCACUUUCAGUGAGGAAGAACGCCUGGUGGUUAAUACCCAUCAGGAAAGACAUCACUCACAGAAGAAGCACCGGCUAACUCCGUGCCAGCAGCCGCGGUAAUACGGAGGGUGCGAGCGUUAAUCGGAAUUACUGGGCGUAAAGCGCGCGUAGGUGGCUUGAUAAGCCGGUUGUGAAAGCCCCGGGCUCAACCUGGGAACGGCAUCCGGAACUGUCAAGCUAGAGUGCAGGAGAGGAAGGUAGAAUUCCCGGUGUAGCGGUGAAAUGCGUAGAGAUCGGGAGGAAUACCAGGGGCGAAGGCGGCCUUCUGGACUGACACUGACACUGAGGUGCGAAAGCGUGGGUAGCAAACAGGAUUAGAUACCCGUGUAGUC